rnacentral:rRNA from 1 species
GACGAACGCUGGCGGCGUGCUUAACACAUGCAAGUCGAGCGGUAAGGCCCUUUCGGGGGUACGACGAGCGGCGAACGGGUGAGUAACACGUGGGUGACCUGCCCUCAGCUCUGGGAUAAGCCUGGGAAACCGGGUCUAAUACUGGAUAUGACUCCAUGACGCAUGUUGUGGGGUGGAAAGCCUUGUGCGGCUGAGGAUGGGCCCGCGGCCUAUCAGCUUGUUGGUGGGGUGAGGCCUACCAAGGCGACGACGGGUAGCCGGCCUGAGAGGGCGACCGGCCACACUGGGACUGAGACACGGCCCAGACUCCUACGGGAGGCAGCAGGUGGGGAAUCUUGCGCAAGUGGGCGAAAGCCUGACGCAGCGACGCCGCGUGAGGGAUGACGGCCUGGUUGGU